GACGAACGCUGGCGGCGUGCUUAACACAUGCGAGUCGAACGGAAAGGCCCUGCUUUUGUGGGGUGCUCGAGUGGCGAACGGGUGAGUAACACGUGAGUAACCUGCCCUUGACUUUGGGAUAACUUCAGGAAACUGGGGCUAAUACCGGAUAGGAGCUCCUGCUGCAUGGUGGGGGUUGGAAAGUUUCGGCGGUUGGGGAUGGACUCGCGGCUUAUCAGCUUGUUGGUGGGGUAGUGGCUUACCAAGGCUUUGACGGGUAGCCGGCCUGAGAGGGUGACCGGCCACAUUGGGACUGAGAUACGGCCCAGACUCCUACGGGAGGCAGCAGUGGGGAAUAUUGCACAAUGGGCGGAAGCCUGAUGCAGCAACGCCGCGUGCGGGAUGACGGCCUUCGGGUUGUAAACCGCUUUCGCCUGUGACGAGGCGUGAGUGACGGUAAUGGGUAAAGAAGCACCGGCUAACUACGUG
rnacentral:rRNA from 1 species